GAGUAUCCCUAGCUCAGAAGUAAAUGACUCUCACUGUGUGAAAAUAAAGAAGUUUUUGCCACACAUAGUGCCCUCUGAAAGAUGUUUGCCUCCCCUACCGUUUCUGGCGGUGAUGAUGGGACAGUACUGACUGGGUCACUGCUUAUCAUUCUGGGGGCUGAAGCUGAGAGAUCCUGGGACAUUUGACAAACGCUGGAAGUUGAUUGAGUGAACGUUAUGGAGACUCAAGAGAACAAUUUGAUGUUAAGACUAGCUACAUACAAGAAUUGCCUGGUACACCCGGAGCACAUCAUCAACAGGUAAGAAAGCAUGGCCUCCACCAACUAACUAGCCUUGCCAUCCUUUCCACCAGGAGAUCAGGGGUAUAUCAAGGCUUCUAAAAGAAAGCACACACUGUCACCUCAUUGGGAAGGACUUUAUGAAGUAUUCCUAACCACCUACACUGCCAUCAAAAUAGAAGAAUUUUGAUGAAUUCACAUGAGUGACACCAAACUAGACCCAGAUCAGCAGUCCCAGGACCAGUGGAGGACCAUUCUUACAAAUGACCUUAAAGUAAUGAUUUCUAGCAUCAAUUCUCAAGCCCUGGAAGCAGAUGACAUCAUGAAUUAGA